UGAAGUUUUGGCCUUACUAUAUUUCCAUUGUGACCAUCAGGCUUCUUUCUUCCCCGAGAAGGUGAUCCAAACAAAGGAUGAUCUAAACAAGAGUUGUAUUUU